GAAUUGUUCGCAAUGGGCGCAAGCCUGACGACGCAACGCCGCGUGGAGGAUGAAGGUCUUCGGAUUGUAAACUCCUGUUGCCCGGGACGAAUGGCUCCGACCUAACACGUCGGAGUGUGACGGUACCGGGUGAGGAAGCACCGGCUAACUCCGUGCCAGCAGCCGCGGUAAUACGGAGGGUGCGAGCGUUAAUCGGAAUUACUGGGCGUAAAGCGCGCGUAGGCGGCGUGAUAAGCCGGUUGUGAAAGCCCCGGGCUCAACCUGGGAACGGCAUCCGGAACUGUCAGGCUAGAGUGCAGGAGAGGAAGGUAGAAUUCCCGGUGUAGCGGUGAGAUGCGUAGAGAUCGGGAGGAAUACCAGUGGCGAAGGCGGCCUUCUGGACUGACACUGACGCUGAGGUGCGAAAGCGUGGGUAGCAAACAGG
rnacentral:rRNA from 1 species